CAACAGUGUGGGUUGGGUUAGGUGGACUGGAUCACAACAGUGUGGGUGGGGUUAGGUGGACUGGAUCACAACAGUGUGGGUGGGGUUAGGUGGACAGGAUCACAACAGUGUGGGUUGGGUUAGGUGGACUGGAUCACAACAGUGUGGGUGGGGUUAGGUGGACAGGAUCACAACAGUGUGGGUGGGGUUAGGUGGACUGGAUCACAACAGUGUGGGUGGGGUUAGGUGGACAGGAUCACAACAGUGUGGGUGGGGUUAGGUGGACUGGAUCACAACAGUGUGGGUGGGGUUAGGUGGACUGGAUCACAACAGUGUGGGUGGGGUUAGGUGGACUGGACCACUACAGUGUGGGUGGGGUUAGGUGGACUGGACCACAACAGUGUGGGUGGGUGGGGUUAGGUGGACUGUACCACAACAGUGUGGGUGGGGUUAGGUGGACUGGAUCACAACAGUGUGGGUGGGGUUAGGUGGACUGGACCACAACACCUGCUUAUGAAUAGAUGUUCAGAAUAAACUUUCAAGUGGUCUUCUGGAAAAUGUUUUUACGAUGUGUAAUUUGAAAAUAUUGUCUGUUUUUGGUAUGUAAUUAAAAUUCAGCUUUGGAA